UAUGGACACAGUCGACCCACUUUGACAAAGACCACCGCAAUGUGGAAAGCAGAGUCUGCUCAAUGAAUACCUUUGAGAAAAAUGGUAUCUGGAUGCAGAACAGAGAAACAAGACCCUGAUUUGACAUGAUGUUUGAAAUUCAACACCCCACCCCCACCCCUGGCAAAAAACAAAAAAGCAAAUAAAAACCCCGAAGACCCGAACAAAAGAUCAUAAACCACAAAUUGUUUUUAACUAAAACACAGGUUGAGCAUAUAUUCUGGAAACAAACACCCUGGAAGAAAAACCUCAUUGACAAUUAAAUACUUUGUCACUGGUAAGUAUUUUCUUAUAUGGCUGACCAAAAUUACAUGCAUAAAACGCAAAAAUAAACAUGGACUACAUCAACCUGAAAAGUUUCUGCACAGCAAAGAAACUACUUUCCAAAU